UACGGGAGGCAGCAGUAAGGAAUAUUCCGCAAUGAGCGAAAGCUUGAUGGAGCGACACAGAGUGCAGGAUGAAGUCUUUAGGGAUGUAAACUGCUGUUGUAAGGGAAGAAAAAACUAGAUAGGAAAUGAUUUAGUCUUGACGGUACCUUAUUAGAAAGUGACGGCAAACUAUGUGCCAGCAGCCGCGGUAAUACAUAGGUCGCAAGCGUUAUCCGGAAUUAUUGGGCGUAAAGCGUCCGCAGGUUUUUUGUUAAGUUUAAGGUUAAAUGCUAAAGCUCAACUUUAGUUCGCUUUAGAUACUGACAAAAUAGAAUUAUGAAGAGGUUAGCGGAAUUCCUAGUGGAGCGGUGGAAUGCGUAGAUAUUAGGAAGAACACCAAUAGGCGAAGGCAGCUAACUGGUCAUAUAUUGACACUAAUGGACGAAAGCGUGGGGAGCAAACAGGAUUAGAUACCCUGGUAGUCC
rnacentral:rRNA from 1 species